AGCUGAACCAGGAGAAAAUAAUCUUGCAAGACCUACUUGGAGCUGAUUUUUCUGAGGAGAGCUGUUUGUUUGUGAGCCCAGGCUGCACAGAGGUCUGGAGGUCUCACUAAGGUAGGGUAGAUAUCUAUACAAGUCACCCAGUGAGGUAGGAGGAAGGCAAGGAUCCCCAGGUCUGCUGUCGUUUAUCCUGGCCUUCCUCCUAGGCCUCUUGCCAUUCUCCGUAUCUGCACUUUGGUCUGUACAAAUCCACCGUUGUCAACAUCCCAGAAAUACUGCUACAAAUUUUCCCCUACAGCCAGACAGCUGAGCAGGAUUUCAGGAUGUGUUUCCUCAGUUACAGACUCCUCCUUCUAUAUACAGCAUAGAAUGAAACAGGGAGCAUGCAAGAGGCCUAUAUAGCUUUAAUGGACUCUGCUUUAUUACUGAGUUGCAUUAUCCAAGCUUCCCAGCUGGAACAGGCAAUUUCGAUCAGCUUUGCUGGUUGUCCACACUGUUAGUUUUCAGAAAAGAACAAGGAAGCUGACACCUGAAUUUGCAGAGAAGAAGCCCCAGACAUGCUCACAAGAUUGAUGUGUACACAGACUCAUGGGGGAUUUCAGAGUGUGAGGUUCAUUGAAGUCAAUGGAGACUUUGCUUUGUGAAGACAUCUAAAACUCCCAGUGAGAAGUUACCUGAAUCUGGCCACGUUUGAGAUCACUGUGCAAUGAAGAUGCAAAAUGAGAAGAUGGAAAAGGAAGAAGAGACCACCAGAUCAGAAUCCACAGCAACUUAGAAGUGGUUAAUCGGCAGCAUAAGGCAUUUGUGAUUCUUUACUCAUUUCCUUCAGAUCUUAAAACAGUGGAAAAUCUGUUAAACAAAACUCUCCUGGUUGAUACUAUUAACACGAUUUCUAUGGGCUCAGUGGAAAAUUCUAGAUACAGAAAAAACUGACAGCCGGGGGAACCUGGUUCCAAAAGGCUCCCAUGAUGCCACCUGGGGAGCAACAGAGUGAGUGCAGGGAUGACUAAUGAAAUGUGUCCAAGGACACUGGAAGCAAACGUGGCUUCUUCACAUAGGAGCAGAUGAUAUAGUGAGGAUGAAACAGAUGACCACAAAUAAGAAUGGUCUGAGACAGUGGGAAACAGUUUUGAAGGAAAACAGAGAGAUCUAGCUAUAAACCAGAUGGGAAAAGCAAAAACAAGUGAAGGUACCAGUGAGAAUACCAGGUUACUGGUCAAACUGACAUGGAAGAAAUUGAUUCAGAAAGGAAAAGCUUUUAAAGGGGAAAGUAUCUUCUUUCUGCUAUGUCCAGUAUGACUAAAUGAAAUAAACUCAGGCAUUUCUGAUCUUCCUUUCAAUAGAAACUCUCCAAGGCUUCUCUGGCCUCUGCAGGCAAUCACUUUAGGCUCUGAAGCAUGAGAUAUGAUUACCAUUAUAAUUAUCUUAGCUUGUAUUGAUAUGAAUGUUACUAAUGGUCAUAAAAUUAUCCAGCGUGGGCUCCCCUUUUCCCUUCCUUUUAGCCAGCCUCCAUGUUAGUGUCCUUAACUUCAGGGCUGUGAAUUUCUGAAGGGAGUACAUGCUGCAAAAGUCACUUCACUCCUCAGAUUCGUUCUAAAUAUACAGCUUUUUACAAUCCCCAGCCCACAGCUUCCCUUGGGUUUCUAAAGGAUUUCAAAUAAUGAAAAGUGAAUUGGGAAAUGAACUAUUGUUACGGGUGAAUUUUAUCAGAUAGUUUUAUGGAAAUUGCUGGAUUAUUUAUAUAUACUGUAAUUGUAACACGAAUCACUAAAUACAUUUGAACACUAAAUGUACUGCUUAUUAAUUUACAUUUUAAGAGUCCCCUUGUUCUUGCAUUAUGUGACAAUAUAAAAAGCACAGACUGAUUAGUUUUCACUAUUUCUCAGAUAAUUACGAAUACCUUAAUCAAGUCUCUUCUAGUUCCUUUUUAAAAUAAUUUAAAAAAAAAUAUUUCAG
ensembl:lncRNA